AUGCUGCUCUGUGCACUUGUAAUAUUUUCAGUACUUGCAGGAGACUCUCUUGGUGAUCUAAUAACAUCUCAUGGUUCUGAAAAACAAGCUCAAGAUGGUAACAGUGUUACUCUCUCCUGCAACUACACUGGUGCUGUUUAUAAUCUACUGUGGUAUCGUCAGUAUCAAAGAUCCAAACCAGAACUCCUUCUCUCCAUGACUGAAUCUGGAGAUCCAGUUAAAGAAGAUCCAUCAGCCCACUGGUUAUCUGCUAAAGUUGACAAACACACAAAGCUCAUGGAACUGGAAAUCAGCCCUGCUAAAGUAUCAGACUCUGCACAUUAUUACUGUGCCCUGCGGCCCACAGUGACAGGAAACCCUUUUCCUCUCCAUCAGUAA